UACGGAGGGUGCGAGCGUUGUCCGGAAUCACUGGGCGUAAAGCGUGCGCAGGCGGUUAUUUAAGUCAGGGGUGAAAGCCCUGGGCUUAAACUAGGAAUUGCGCUUGAGACUGGAUAGCUUGGAGUGCGGCAGAGGGAGGUGGAAUUCCACGUGUAGCAGUGAAAUGCGUAGAGAUGUGGAGGAACACCGAUGGCGAAGGCAGCCUCCUGGGCCAGCACUGACGCUCAUGCACGAAAGCGUGGGGAGCAAACAGG
rnacentral:rRNA from 1 species